AAUCCUGCCACAGGAUGAGAGACACUUCAGAUGGUCAAAUUCUGUUCCAUCAUGUGAAAUGAACACUUGUUUCUUGGGUAGUUGCCCCAAAUGCAGAGCUCCAGAAGGAUGUGUGAACCAUUCCUCACUCUUACUGCCUGUACCCCCCAAGCAGCAAAGCCUUCCUUCUGUGGCACUAUCACAGGUUUCUGGCUGGUCUGCUCAGUCUGUGCAUGGGAAGCUGCCUGGGCAUCUGCAGAUGGAUGAAGUACCUGUGUAGUGACUGGAAUGAGAUGGAAGGCUGCAGGGCAGCUCCUCACUUCCCUGCUGGGUAACAAAAGAAAGAGAUCCUCUGGUCCCCAUAAUCUGAAGCUGUGGCUUAUUAAACUAAAUAACUUUGUUUUGUU